rnacentral:rRNA from 1 species
CAUUAGCUAGUCGGCGGGGUAACGGCCCACCGAGGCGACGAUGCGUAGGGGUUCUGAGAGGAAGGUCCCCCACACUGGUACUGAGACACGGACCAGACUCCUACGGGAGGCAGCAGUGAGGAAUAUUGGUCAAUGGGCGCGAGCCUGAACCAGCCAAGUCGCGUGAGGGAUGACGGUCCUACGGAUUGUAAACCUCUUUUGCCGGGGAGCAAGCGUGCGUUCGUGAACGCGCGUCGAGAGUACCCGGAGAAAAAGCAUCGGCUAACUCCGUGCCAGCAGCCGCGGUAAUACGGAGGAUGCGAGCGUUAUCCGGAUUUAUUGGGUUUAAAGGGUGCGUAGGCGGGAUGCCAAGUCAGCGGUAAAAAUGCGGUGCUCAACGCCGUCGAGCCGUUGAAACUGGCGUUCUUGAGUGGGCGAGAAGUAUGCGGAAUGCGUGGUGUAGCGGUGAAAUGCAUAGAUAUCACGCAGAACUCCGAUUGCGAAGGCAGCAUACCGGCGCCCUACUGACGCUGAGGCACGAAAGCGUGGGUAUCGAACAGGAUUAGAUACCCUGGUAGUCCACGCAGUAAACGAUGAAUGCUAACUGUCCGGCUCGAAUGAGCGCUGG